UGCCCAGCAACUCCUAUCCCUACCUCCUCGCGGUACCGGCCGGAAACUAUGAGCAACCUUAGGGAAGAUCGGGUAACCAACCCCGGUGGGAACUUUGGUCAUAGGCUGACAGGGAAGG
rfam:Aedes albopictus isolate Foshan contig139063, whole genome shotgun sequence.